rnacentral:rRNA from 1 species
AGCGAACGCUGGCGGCAGGCCUAACACAUGCAAGUCGAACGAACCUUUCGGGGUUAGUGGCGGACGGGUGAGUAACACGUGGGAACGUGCCUUUAGGUUCGGAAUAACUCAGGGAAACUUGUGCUAAUACCGAAUGUGCCCUUUGGGGGAAAGAUCUAUCGCCUUUAGAGCGGCCCGCGUCUGAUUAGCUAGUUGGUUGAGGUAAUGGCUCACCAAGGCGACGAUCAGUAGCUGGUCUGAGAGGAUGAUCAGCCACAUUGGGACUGAGACACGGCCCAAACUCCUACGGGAGGCAGCAGUGGGGAAUCUUGCGCAAUGGGCGAAAGCCUGACGCAGCCAUGCCGCGUGAAUGAUGAAGGUCUUAGGAUUGUAAAAUUCUUUCACCGGGGACGAUAAUGACGGUACCCGGAGAAGAAGCCCCGGCUAACUUCGUG